CUUUGGUUUGUCUCUACGACAUUCAGAGGAUGCACUACAACCUAUUGCUGAGGAGACAAAAAUGUUACUUUGAAGUAAUGUGUAAUUCUGUCACUAUCAAUUAACGUCUAAAAUGUCAACAGGCUAUUAAAUAAUACACUAACUCUAAAUCAGUCAGGAGCAAGCUGGGUAGCCUAAGAAAUAAAAAUAUUUAGGCUAUAUUAUUAUUAUUUAUUUGACCUUUAUUUAACCAGGGGAAACCCAUUGAGACCAGGGUCUCAUUUUGAAGGUUGCCCUGGGAACAAUAAAUCAACAUAAUCAGAAUCAAAACACAAUCAAUUUACAAUUUCACAUUUCAACAAAUCAAAUUCUAAAGCAGCAGAUAAAAUUACACAUCAAUCAAAACAAGUAAAUUUCUCCUUCACCACAUUCCUCAUGAAAUUCCCAACCUGACCCUUCGAGACCAGAGAGUCAAGCCUCAAAGUGGGCUGCAUGUCAUUCCAUGCGCUAAGGGCACAAUAACUAAAAGGCAAUCUUCCCGAACUCUGUGGAGACCAGAGGAACCGCUAGAACUAUCCAGUCUUGAGAGCGAAUCUGGUGGCUUUAUUUCCAAUUAAGAAGUGAGGUAGCUAGGGAGUUUCUGGAGAACUGUUUUAUAUACAAAUAGCAGCCAAUGUUGGUCCCUUUUGGUAGUCAGAGACUCUCAGCCAACAGAAUUACAUAAAAGGCAAUGAUGUGUACGAAAAUAUUGUCCAGUGAUCUAGCUAAAGCCACCAUUUAAGAAAUCAAUUGUGAAGCAUUUGUGACAUGCUACAGGCUGGCAGGAGAGCUCAGCAUUUCAACAACAGCACUUUAACAACAUGCCUAUACAUUUUGCAUUUAGGCUAUAUACAAUUACUUUAUUACUUAGAAUUAAAUAAUAAUGAAAUGAAAAAUGUCUUAUUAGGCUAUAGAGUCAUUCUACAAUGGCUUUGAAUUCAUUUUUGAAACUUGAGUUUGGCCAGUCUUUGGUUUGAGGGUCUGCGGUGAGCCAUGCAUGCCUAGUUUGUUAAUGUAACCUAACAGACGUUCUUAUAUUCCCAUGCCCUAAUCACAGUCAACACAAAUCUAUUUUGUGAUAACAAUAUCAUGGAAUAAAAUAGAAUACAUUUGUAAAAGUGCAUAUACUGUAGGCCUACCUGAUGAUAUGCAGGUGGCUGCUGUGUUAAAAAACAAAUGUAUUUUUCUAGAAUUCAUGUUUGAUCAGAUACUUCAGAUGUAACUGGUUCUGUCACGUUCCAUUUUUACAGUUGAUGGACAACUUUAGCUCUGUUCCAAACUUAGACUAUCCUCUUUUAUAAAAGUCUAGUUUCUCAGACCGCAAAUAAGAUGAUAGAUUCAUGCCGUGCUUUAAUUAGAAUGGAGAUCUUUUCACCCCUACCCUUGUCAGCGGUGGUCUCCGAAUCACAACUUUCUGGCCCUUUGCCAUGUAAUGCUGACAAAACAUAAAACAGUUUCUAAAACUGCCUCUAAGGCUCUGGUCUGUCCUAGGAGUGAGGGUAAACGGUAGGCAUGUUCUCUGCUAUCCACUUUGCUUUAAUUGUUAUUAUGGGUAUAGUGGAGGGUCACUUGUUUUCUUUUUACAUGUUCAGGGAGGGUCGGGUAAAAAUAUAUUUUACUGAAGGAGGGCCAUCCAUUUUCAGGUCCGAUUUUCUCCAGUUAUCAUUCAUUAUAAAUGACGUACAGUCCCUAAAAGUUCUCUCGGUUAGUAUUCAGAAAGGCCUAAAUGUAACUUAGUGAAGGGGAAUCUCAAAUCCGCAGAGAGAGUGGACCUACACAGGGGGUAAGGAGGGAGCUGGUAAGUCCUGUAACUAAGAGACAUAUUGGUAACACCUGAUCCCUAAAACACUGAUGAUGAGAAACAUUGGUGAGCAGUAGCUCGUUGGAUUGGUUGGCUGAUGGGAAAACGCCCUUUUCCAUGGUACUUAUCAACAUACACAGCAACAACACCCUCUGGAGACAUCCAAAACCAAUUAAAGUUUGUUUUGACAGAUCACUAUCCACGAUAAGUCUCCAAUAAUUAUGUGAUGUCAACAAAUUACGCAUUCACUGUGAAAAUUCUUGUGGACUUCAGAACUGUUCUCGCCAUCUGAAUGUGCGUCCUGGCCGUUCUGUCUGUAUGGUUGGGAGCCUCUCCUGAAGUCUCGGGUUUUGCCGCCAUGUGUUUCCAUUUACCUUCGUUACCUCGGAGCGUGACGUUCCCACCGCAGUUAUUACCCAACGCCCUGUGUGGUCACUCCGUGGGGGGGGGGGGCUUCUUCUGUGAAAAUGCAAUAGCCAUCCACCUUGAGACCCUUACUGUCACAGACAACUAGUCGGUCUCAGAGACCUUCUUAGUCCAACUGGGCUCUCGGACUAGACGUUAUAGUAGAGAUACAGCAUAUUUGACAGACAGAGAUGCUGUACAAAGAAAAACAUAUUGGCAUGCUCUUGGGACGAAUGUAGGGUUCAUGUGGGAAUGUGCUCCAUGGAUCCCAAACUUACAGCAAAAUGACAGAAAUGGAGGGUUAAACUGAAGCUCAUCCAAAACAGACAUUUCACUCCAUUUUCGCCAUUGGGGAUUUGACAGUACUGGCAGUGGAGUUGGUCGUUGAAUAUUGCCCGUCUCAGGCAUAUUGGAAGGCCUUGGUGUAUUCUCAUACUCCAUAUAUCAGAUGAUUAAGUUAUCCCUCACGUCUGCUGGGAUGACUGAGUGUUUGAUAAACUUCAAACACAUUGUGUUUACUCAACCCAACCAAACCGGCGGAAAAUAUUGCCUCAGUCGGAGGCUUAGCCAAUCCAUAAACUGUGGGUUUGUGUUGGUAGUAACCAGCGCCUGCAGGUCGGGUCCAACCAUAACUUCUACUCUCCACAGAAACUUCUUAUUUCACCCCGAGACGGGUGUCUUCGCCCUCCUAUCCUCUCGUCCGCAGGGAGAGCAAGAAGACAAAUAUUUUCUUUCAGGAGCGUCGCUCUGUUACCUGAGAGUUUCAUAAAUCCAGCACAAGUCUAUUUCCUGGAACUGUUGAGUGUCUUUCCAUCCCCUCGCCCCUCCGCCCCACCCUCCAGACCCUUCUCUCAGCCAGUGUUUGGGCCUGGAGCAGGUGCCCCUCCCCUGGGCAGCCUGCUCAGGAAAGGCCCCUGCUGUGCAGACGAGACUGGGCCGCAGCCCGGGCCAAGCUCAUGCUGUGAGGGGUAUAAGAGGCUCCCUUCUAUCCAGACACACACAAAAAAGAUUUGCCUUCCACUCCUCCUCUCUCGCUCUGUUUCUCUCCAAAAAUGCAAUCUUCCCAUCUGUUUUCCCUCUCUCAAAUCACUCUCUUUCUCUACUUCGCAAGUCUCUCUGUUUCCCUCUCUCUGCCUCCCUGUCCCUUCUCUCACCCCAUAUAACUUUAUAAAGGUUACAGACUGAAGCACGUCCAUCAAUCCUGGAAAAUUAUGAAAAACAUGACUACUAAAAAAAGGUUUAACUCUUUACUCAAGCUAUCAUAAUAAGCAGUAAGAGUUACUGUAGUUACUCAUGUCCUGUAGUUACUCAUGUCCUGUAGUUACUCAUGUCCUGUAGGCCAAGCUGUGUGAGUUACUCAUGUCCUGUAGUUACUCAUGUCCUGUAGGCCAAGCUGUGUGAGUUACUCAUGUCCUGUAGUUACUCAUGUCCUGUAGGCCAAGCUGUGCGAGUUCCUCAUGUCCUGUAGACCAAGCUGUGUGAGUUCCUCAUGUCCUGUAGGCCAAGCUGAGUGAGUUACUCAUGUCCUGUAGGCCAAGCUGUGUGAGUUACUCAUGUCCUGUAGGCCAAGCUGUGUGAGUUACUCAUGUCCUGUAGGCCAAGCUGUGUGAGUUACUCAUGUCCUGUAGGCCAAGCUGUGUGAGUUACUCAUGUCCUGUAGGCCAAGCUGUGUGUGUUACUCAUGUCCUGUAGGCCAAGCUGAGUGAGUUACUCAUGUCCUGUAGGCCAAGCUGUGUGAGUUACUCAUGUCCUGUAGGCCAAGCUGUGUGAGUUACUCAUGUCCUGUAGGCCAAGCUGUGUGAGUUACUCAUGUCCUGUAGGCCAAGCUGUGUGAGUUACUCAUGUCCUGUAGGCCAAGCUGUGUGAGUUACUCAUGUCCUGUAGGCCAAGCUGUGUGACUUACUCAUGUCCUGUAGGCCAAGCUGUGUGACUUACUCAUGUCCUGUAGGCCAAGCUGUGUGAGUUACUCAUGUCCUGUAGGCCAAGCUGUGUGAGCAAAGAAACUGAAUUUAUUGACUCCCUGAAGCAUCACAACUGGUCACAACUGAC
rnacentral:lncRNA from 1 species